UACGGAGGGUGCAAGCGUUAUCCGGAUUCACUGGGCUUAAAGGGUGCGUAGGUGGGCAAGUAAGUCAGUGGUGAAAUCUCCGGGCUUAACCCGGAAACUGCCAUUGAUACUAUUUGUCUUGAAUACUGUGGAGGUCAGCGGAAUAUGUCAUGUAGCGGUGAAAUGCUUAGAUAUGACAUAGAACACCAAUUGCGAAGGCAGCUGGCUGCACAAAUAUUGACACUGAGGCACGAAAGCGUGGGGAGCAAACAGG
rnacentral:rRNA from 1 species